rnacentral:rRNA from 1 species
UCGAUUGAACGCGGCGGCAGGCUACACACAAGUGAGCGGUACACAGAGUUGUCUUGGGUGACGAGCGGCGGACGGGUGAGUAAUGUCUGGGAAACUGCCUGAUGGAGGGGGAUAACUACUGGAAACGGUAGCUAAUACCGCAUAAGUCGCAAGACCAAAGAGGGGGACCUUCGGGCCUCUUGCCAUCAGAUGUGCCCAGAUGGGAUUAGCUAGUAGGUGGGGUAACGGCUCACCUAGGCGACGAUCCCUAGCUGGUCUGAGAGGAUGACCAGCCACACUGGAACUGAGACACGGUCCAGACUCUACGGGAGGCAGCAGUGGGGAAUAUUGCACAAUGGGCGCAAGCCUGAUGCAGCCAUGCCGCGUGUAUGAAGAAGGCCUUCGGGUUGUAAAGUACUUUCAGCGGGGAGGAAGGUGUUGAGGUUAAUAACCUCAGCAAUUGACGUUACCCGCAGAAGAAGCACCGGCUAACUCCGUGCCAGCAGCCGCGGUAAUACGGAGGGUGCAAGCGUUAAUCGGAAUUACUGGGCGUAAAGCGCACGCAGGCGGUCUGUCAAGUCGGAUGUGAAAUCCCCGGGCUCAACCUGGGAACUGCAUUGAAACUGCAGGCUAGAGUCUUGUAGAGGGGGGUAGAAUUCCAGGUGUAGCGGUGAAAUGCGUAGAGAUCGGAGGAAUACCGGGGCGAAGGCGGCCCCCGACAAAGACAC